rnacentral:rRNA from 1 species
GAUGAACGCUGGCGGCGUGCCUAAUACAUGCAAGUCGAGCGAACGGACGAGAAGCUUGCUUCUCUGAUGUUAGCGGCGGACGGGUGAGUAACACGUGGAUAACCUACCUAUAAGACUGGGAUAACUUCGGGAAACCGUAGCUAAUACCGGAUAAUAUUUUGAACCGCAUGGUUCAAAAGUGAAAGACGGUCUUGCUGUCACUUAUAGAUGGAUCCGCGCUGCAUUAGCUAGUGGGUAAGGUAACGGCUUACCAAGGCAACGAUGCAUAGCCGACCUGAGAGGGUGAUCGGCCACACUGGAACUGAGACACGGUCCAGACUCCUACGGGAGGCAGCAGUAGGGAAUCUUCCGCAAUGGGCGAAAGCCUGACGGAGCAACGCCGCGUGAGUGAUGAAGGUCUUCGGAUCGUAAAACUCUGUUAUUAGGGAAGAACAUAUGUGUAAGUAACUGUGCACAUCUUGACGGUACCUAAUCAGAAAGCCACGGCUAACUACGUG